GUGUGUGGCUCAGGAGUGUGGUCAGUAGCGUCUCGACUGUGGAGAAGGAAAGGCUCGGUGUCGCAAAGGCUACAGGUACCUCCAGGGAUGGAACUCAGGACCUUGUGCUUUCGAGCCAGGCAGUGGAACCACUGUGCAAAAUCUCCGGCCCAUCCCUAAGAUGAAUGUAAUCACUAUGUACCUCAAACAUGUACUAAUAGAAAAGAAUACUGUCUUAAGAUUUAUUUGAGGGACUGUUCUAGUCAGGGUUUUGGCAAAGGAAUACAUUUA
rnacentral:lncRNA from 1 species